UUCAAUUUUAGUAUAAUUUUUUGUAGAAGGUUUCCUGCAACCUUAUUAAUUCAUGUUUCUUUUAUGUGUGUUUCAGAUUCGAAGAAUGCCAGAAAUUGUUGAAAAUGGUGAAAAUCGAAAAAGAAAAUGAUACCAAGGGUUAGUGCUCAUCGAUAUCAUAAAAGCAGACUGACCAAAGGUUGUUGACCUAUUCACAAAGUGGCCUGCACGAAGGAGACGAAAUCAACGGACAGUUGGACCAGUGUGCCUCCUCACCAUUAUUGAAAGGUAAUUAGAUAGUUUCGUACUGAGAUAAUUAAUAUUACUAAAUACAACUAAAUAAAUAAGUAGGUACUUUAGAGUAGAAUUAGUAUAGAGAGAGGAAAAGAAAAGAAAGAUAGAGAUAAAAAUAAUAUGUAAGAUUUAGAUUGAUUUGAAGGAGAGAGGUUGUUAACGGUUCUCAAAAAAAAGAAAAAAAAAUAUUGAGGUAAAUAGUUCAAUUAUUGAGAAAGAGAGAAAGAAAGGUAGAGAAAGAAUAAUAAUCAUUCGAAAAAGAGAAAAGAAGUGAAAAUAAAGAAGGGUCAAGAGACAUUAUAUGAGAGAAAGAUGAAGAAAGCGAGAAGUAUUUAUGCUAGGUUUACAUUGUUGCCUAUCUUAUAUUUAUAAGGUACAAUUGACACGUCAGUUUUUCAUAUAGAGUAGUUUUGCAGCUUAUAGUUUAAUAUUAGUAUUUAUAUUUUAAAAUAGAUAGGAAUAUGUUGAUCGUCCGCAUAUAAUUGAUUCAAAUGCUUUAUUGCUUUUAUGUUUCACGCUGGAGGAAAUACAUGGUUCAUUGUGUCAAUUUUCAUCGGAGGAGGUAGAUGGAUCAUUGUGCUACGUCUCACUGGAGUCAGUUCAGUCGCAUGUAGCAUUACAGUCAAUUGGUCAAAAUGUCAUGGCGCUAUGGGAGUGAAAACAUAAGGUGUUUGAUUUUUGGGGAAGAAAAAUGCUUGUCGAAGAUUUAUGGUCAUCCAUCAAACAGUGGUCAAGUUUUCAGUGAUGAUAUUGGCGACAUAGAUCGCAACAUUUUCGACGUGGGAUCAACCAG